ensembl:lncRNA
CCACCCAAAGAAUAGAAAUACCUGACAGUUGCCCGUUUAACACCGGUGGAGUAAUUAUUAAACCCCCCUUUUUUACUAUAUUGCUAAUCCAAACCCAAACUGUCCGAUACAGAGCAGCGCCAGCGUUCAACCAGCAGAGAGCGCAAUCGGGUCACCAUAUCCAUCUCGGUGGCUCCACCCAUGCCCACAUUCCCCUCCCCUCACUCCAUCAGGAGACAGGACCAGAGGAGUCGACACUCACAUAUGCUGGACAGAGCUGAAUAUCAGACAAUGCAGAGGAAGGAAAGAAGCACCAGAGAGUCCGAC